rnacentral:rRNA from 1 species
UAACGACUCUCGGCAACGGAUAUCUCGGCUCACGCAUCGAUGAAGAACGUAGCAAAAUGCGAUACUUGGUGUGAAUUGCAGAAUCCCGUGAACCAUCGAGUUUUUGAACGCAAGUUGCGCCCGAAGCCAUCCGGUUGAGGGCACGCCUGCCUGGGCGUCACGC